GAACCCACGAGAGCUCACGAGGCGGGGCCAGAAGCCACGUCAAAUCGACUAGCCAAGCUAACUUCCAGCCAUGGCAUUGUCUCCGGCUACGACCUUCCACGACCACGAGAGCUCCAGCUCUGACUUUCCUGGCCCAUCACAAUCAUAACGACCUAACAGCCCAGUAGGACCGAUGGCCAGAGAUGGAGGAGGAGGAAGAUAGACGCAGCAGAGGUCGGGGGUAUUGAUUAGGGAGACUCCAACAGAAUUGACGCCCUGCUAACUGCCUUGAUUCAAUCAUUGAAUUUGAAGCAAUCCCAUCGGUUACUGCAGCGUGCCCUGACCCGUGACCCCAGUUUGAUGUUCGACCUGGCACAUGACA